rnacentral:tRNA from 1 species
AGUCUUAUAGUCAAAAAAUGAUAUUAAAUUGCAAGUUUAAAGUUAAUAAAAUAUUUAAGGCUU